UGAGUUUUGCCUAUUUCAGUCAAAUUAAAAUAUUGAAGAGAAACACAAAAUUCAAGGAAAUGAAACAAAACAUUAGGUAGUGGAAUAAUACUUUAGCUUUUUGUUUUGUCCAAAUUUUAUAUUUUAAAAUAUUUUUUAACAAUUGCAUCCUUCUUCACCUUCUCCUUUGUUUCUUUUUGGCUGUCAAACCCCCCUCCUUCAUUUCCCUUUUAUGCUUUUGUCAGUUUUGAGGAAAGAAAGAAAUCUUUGGCUUCAACUUCCACAGUUUCUCCACCAUUUCUUUUCUUUAUCAGUCUUCCUAUCUGUCUCUCUCUGGAGCCUUUACCUUUCUCCCAUGGAGCUUUUCCUUUUCUCCCAUGGUUUUCAUACCUUUCCUCUCUUGGUGGCAUGGCGCUUUCCUUUCAAUUUCAACCUUCUGAUUUCCCUUGAGACAAAGUUCGUUUCUUUUGCUGUUGUCAUUUUCUCAUUAAUGCUGACAAGGAAGACUGAGUAAACCCCAUUCCUUGAAUUCUCUGGUUUGGGGAUUCCUGCUUUCAGACUGCAGUCUUCUUUUCAUCUUUUUAGGGUUUUUGGAGGUUUUAAAGUUCUGGGAUUGGGUAAUUAUGG
rnacentral:lncRNA from 1 species